UGGGGAAUAUUGGACAAUGGGCGAAAGCCUGAUCCAGCAAUGCCGCGUGAGUGAUGAAGGCCUUAGGGUUGUAAAGCUCUUUUACCCGGGAAGAUAAUGACUGUACCGGGAGAAUAAGCUCCGGCUAACUUCGUGCCAGCAGCCGCGGUAAUACGGAGGGGGCUAGCGUUGUUCGGAAUUACUGGGCGUAAAGCGCGCGUAGGCGGCUUUGUAAGUCAGAGGUGAAAGCCUGGAGCUCAACUCCAGAACUGCCUUUGAAACUACAUCGCUUGAAUCAUGGAGAGGUUAGUGGAAUUCCGAGUGUAGAGGUGAAAUUCGUAGAUAUUCGCAAGAACACCAGUGGCGAAGGCGGCUCACUGGCCCGGUACUGACGCUGAGGAGCGAAAGCGUGGGGAGCGAA
rnacentral:rRNA from 1 species